CAGCAUGGGCAAGCCUGUUGGUGUGCGGCCUGCAGCUAUGGCACGCCAUUGGCAGGAGCCUUUCAGGUAUAUCGACGCCACCAAUCCUUUACGGAACGCUGGAUCGUUGCCCAUUGCUCACAAAUUCCACUGACGGAACGGACACGCCCGUUUCGACAAACGCGUUGUCGCAUGAAAGUUCAAACGUCUUCCCACUGUAUCAGCUUUCGUCCUUUUCGAUUUCCUUUGUCGGAGCUCUGUUAACCAUGCUGCUCGGCAACAUCUUCAGCAUUGCUAAAGGGAAAGACACUGAAUUGCAAAAAAAUAUCCACCUCACAUCCCCCGAAUUCUUGAAGAUGUGGUGCCGCUUCAAAUGUAUACGGCGAGCGCUGAAUCUGGACCAAAAUACUCCGAUGACAUUUGUCUUCAGCUCAUGUGAUCAAGGCGAAGCCGAUUACGGAGAGUUUGAAACCAAACUUCUCGAAACAGAGGAACAGCGAUCAAAAUAACAAAAAUGGGUAUUACAGAAGAAACAGCGCGAAAGACACCACUCUCAUCCAGUAAAGAACUAAGACAGCGUUCUUUACAACGUGUGCACUCCGCGUCCCUGCUGUUGUUCUUGGCCGAACAGAGCAAAGGAACAGAGGCCGAAUGCGCGAAGUUUUCAAUCAUAGGAGUUCUUUGCCAUUGGCGAACCGCCUUUGCUAGCGAUACAUCCCGCAUUAGGAUUGGCUGAAACUCUCACCUAUGAACAUUCUAGCGUAGUCCCUUUGUUGUGAACAAAGGCAGAGAACACAAGUGAUUCUUGU